rnacentral:sRNA from 1 species
GAACUAGCUCAGGAACUUUUCUUAGAAGAGGACAUGACGAAGUUGUCGAGGUGAUUGAGAAAAGG